rnacentral:rRNA from 1 species
AGAAUGACUCUCGGCAACGGAUAUCUAGGCUCUUGCAUCGAUGAAGAACGUAGCGAAAUGCGAUACUUGGUGUGAAUUGCAGAAUCCCGUGAACCAUCGAGUCUUUGAACGCAAGUUGCGCCCGAACCCAUCAGGUUGAGGGCACGUCUGCCUGGGCGUCACAU